GGGGCCAUAGCUCAGCUGGGAGAGCGCCUGCUUUGCAAGCAGGAGGUCGUCGGUUCGAUCCCGUCUGGCUCCACCA
rnacentral:tRNA from 29 species